rnacentral:siRNA from 1 species
UGACCAAUCGUGUGCUGCCACAUC